GAAAUGCGAUAAGUAAUGUGAAUUGCAGAAUUCAGUGAAUCAUCGAAUCUUUGAACGCACCUUGCGCUCCUUGGUAUUCCUUGGAGCAUGCCUGUUUGAGUAUCAUGAAAUCUUCAAAGUAAAUCUUUUGUUAACUCAAUUGGUUUAUACUUUGGUAUUGGAGGUCUUUGCAGCUUCACACCUGCUCCUCUUUGUUCAUUAGCUGGAUCUCAGUGUUAUGCUUGGUUCCACUCGGCGUGAUAAGUUAUCUAUCGCUGAGGACACUGUAAAGGGUGGCCAAGGUAAAUGCAGAUGAACCGCUUCUAAUAGUCCAUUGACUUGGACAAUACUUUUAUGAUCUGAUCUCAAAUCAGGUAGGACUACCCGCUGAACUUAAGC
rnacentral:misc_RNA from 1 species